rnacentral:rRNA from 1 species
GACGAACGUUGGCGGCGUGCUUAAUACAUGCAAGUCAACUGAAGCAGUGGUAGCAAUAUCGCUGUGGAGGUGGCGCACGGGUGAGUAACACGUAGGUAAUCUGCCUUCAGGUCUGGCAUAACUCCGGGAAACCGGGGCUAAUAGCAGAUGAUGCAGCGGCUCGACAUCGUGACAGUUGUUAAAGCUAUGGCGCCUGAAGAUGGGCCUGCGUCUGAUUAGCUAGUUGGCGGGGUAACGGCCCACCAAGGCAACGAUCAGUAGCUGGUCUGAGAGGAUGAUCAGCCACACUGGAACUGAGACACGGUCCAGACUCCUACGGGAGGCAGCAGUAAGGAAUAUUGCUCAAUGGGAGAAAUCCUGAAGCAGCAACGCCGCGUGAGGGACGAAGGGCUUUUGCUUGCAAACCUCUGUAGUGAGAGAAAAAAAUCCCAAUCUUUGGGACAUGAUGGUAUCUCAAAAGUAAGCCCCGGCUAACUACGUG